UUAAAGAGAGUUUGAUCCUGGCUCAGGACGAACGCUGGCGGCGUGCCUAAUACAUGCAAGUCGAACGAACGGAGGAAGAGCUUGCUCUUCCAAAGUUAGUGGCGGACGGGUGAGUAACACGUGGGCAACCUGCCUGUAAGUUGGGGAUAACUCCGGGAAACCGGGGCUAAUACCGAAUGAUAGAAUGUGGCGCAUGCCACGCUUUUGAAAGAUGGUUUCGGCUAUCGCUUACAGAUGGGCCCGCGGUGCAUUAGCUAGUUGGUAGGGUAAUGGCCUACCAAGGCAACGAUGCAUAGCCGACCUGAGAGGGUGAUCGGCCACACUGGGACUGAGACACGGCCCAGACUCCUACGGGAGGCAGCAGUAGGGAAUCUUCCGCAAUGGACGAAAGUCUGACGGAGCAACGCCGCGUGUAUGAAGAAGGUUUUCGGAUCGUAAAGUACUGUUGUUAGAGAAGAACAAGGAUAAGAGUAACUGCUUGUCCCUUGACGGUAUCUAACCAGAAAGCCACGGCUAACUACGUGCCAGCAGCCGCGGUAAUACGUAGGUGGCAAGCGUUGUCCGGAUUUAUUGGGCGUAAAGCGCGCGCAGGCGGUCUUUUAAGUCUGAUGUGAAAGCCCCCGGCUUAACCGGGGAGGGUCAUUGGAAACUGGAAGACUGGAGUGCAGAAGAGGAGAGUGGAAUUCCACGUGUAGCGGUGAAAUGCGUAGAUAUGUGGAGGAACACCAGUGGCGAAGGCGACUCUCUGGUCUGUAACUGACGCUGAGGCGCGAAAGCGUGGGGAGCAAACAGGAUU
rnacentral:rRNA from 1 species